UGGGCCGGAGGGUGGAGUCCAAGUGAAAAGGCGCAACAGUCCCGAGGAAUUUCACCAGGAGGCUGACCAACAAAAGGGAUGCAGUGGAGGGUUAAGUCAACCACACUCAGCUGGUGCACCUUUUUCUUUCUGAAAUAUACUUUACCCACCCUUCUAAGGAAAUCAGCAUCAACAGCUGCCACAACCUGCAUGACAAGACACUGCAGCUGUCCAUGCCCAUACUGGGGUCAAAGGGGACAUCCUAAUGCUCUUCCCCCUUGAGACUGGCACCUGUUGGCCCUGUGUUGGCCCAGCCUUCAUAAAGACAACAGAGAUUUCAAUAAAGUGGGCUUAGAGCCACGAGGCCUGAUGCUGCCUCUG